UACAGAGGUCUCAAGCGUUGUUCGGAUUCAUUGGGCGUAAAGGGUGUGUAGGUGGCGCGCUAAGUCGGGUGUGAAAUUUCGGAGCUUAACUCCGAAACUGCAUUCGAUACUGGCGUGCUUGAGGACUGGAGAGGAGACUGGGAAUUCAUGGUGUAGCAGUGAAAUGCGUAGAGAUCAUGAGGAAGACCAGUGGCGAAGGCGGGUCGUCUGG
rnacentral:rRNA from 1 species